rnacentral:misc_RNA from 1 species
UGACAGCGAGCCCGCCACUGCUUUUCAGGGCCUGCGGCAGCCGCAGGUCCCCAACACAAGCCGGGGGCUUGAUGGUUGAAAUGACGCUCGAACAGGCAUGCCCGCCAGAAUACUGGCGGGCGCAAUGUGCGUUCAAAGAUUCGAUGAUUCACUGAAUUCUGCAAUUCACAUUACUUAUCGCAUUUCGCUGCGUUCUUCAUCGAUGCCACACAGACUAUAC